UACGGGGGGGGGCAAGCGUUGUUCGGAAUUACUGGGCGUAAAGGGCUCGUAGGCGGCCAACUAAGUCAGACGUGAAAUCCCUCGGCUUAACCGGGGAACUGCAUCCGAUACUGGCGGGCUUGAAUCCGGGAGAGGGAUGUGGAAUUCCAGGUGUAGCGGUGAAAUGCGUAGAUAUCGGGAGGAACACCUAUGGCGAAGGCAGCUCGCUGGGACGUUACUGACGCUGAGACGCGAAAGCGUGGGGAGCAAACAGG
rnacentral:rRNA from 1 species